CGGAGCAACGCCGCGUGAGUGAUGAAGGCUUUCGGGUCGUAAAACUCUGUUGUUAGGGGAGAACAAGUACAAGAGUAACUGCUUGUACCUUGACGGUACCUAACCAGAAAGCCACGGCUAACUACGUGCCAGCAGCCGCGGUAAUACGUAGGUGGCAAGCGUUAUCCGGAAUUAUUGGGCGUAAAAGCGCGCGCAGGCGGUUUCUUAAGUCUGAUGUGAAAGCCCACGGCUCAACCGUGGAGGGUCAUUGGAAACUGGGGAACUUGAGUGCAGAAGAGAAAAGCGGAAUUCCACGUGUAGCGGUGAAAUGCGUAGAGAUGUGGAGGAACACCAGUGGCGAAGGCGGCUUUUUGGUCUGUAACUGACGCUGAGGCGCGAAAGCGUGGGGAGCAAACAGGAUUAGAUACCCUGGUAGUCCACGCCGUAAACGAUGAGUGCUAAGUGUUAGAGGGUUUCCGCCCUUUAGUGCUGCAGCUAACGCAUUAAGCACUCCGCCUGGGGAGUACGGUCGCAAGACUG
rnacentral:rRNA from 1 species